rnacentral:rRNA from 1 species
AUUGAACGCUGGCGGCAGGCUUAACACAUGCAAGUCGAGCGGAGAUGAGGUGCUUGCACCUUAUCUUAGCGGCGGACGGGUGAGUAAUGCUUAGGAAUCUGCCAUUUAGUGGGGGACAACAUUCCGAAAGGAAUGCUAAUACCGCAUACGUCCUACGGGAGAAAGCAGGGGAUCUUCGGACCUUGCGCUAAAUGAUGAGCCUAAGUCGGAUUAGCUAGUUGGUGGGGUAAAGGCCUACCAAGGCGACGAUCUGUAGCGGGUCUGAGAGAAUGGGCCGCCUCACUGGGGCUGUGACACGGCCCAGACUCCAACGGGAGGCAGCAGUGGGGAAUAUUGGACAAUGGGCGGAAGCCUGAUCUAGCCAUGCCGCGUGUGUGAAGAAUGCCUUUUGGUUGUAAAGCACUUUAAGCGAGGAGGAGGCUACUGAGACUAAUACUCUUGGAUAGUGGACGUUACUCGCAGAAUAAGCACCGGCUAACUCUGUGCCAGCCGCCGCCGUAACAC